rnacentral:rRNA from 1 species
AUUGAACGCUGGCGGCAGGCCUAACACAUGCAAGUCGAGCGGAGCGGCGGACGGGUACGUAAUGCCUAGGACUCUGCCUGGUAGUGGGGGAUAACGUUCGGAAACGGGAGCUAAUACCGCAUACUCUCAGCUGAGCCUAGGUGGGAUUAGCUAGUUGUAGGGGUAAAGGCCUACCAAGGCGACGAGCCGUAGCUGGUAUGAGAGGAUGAGCAGUCACACUGGAACUGAGACACGGUCCAGACUCCUACGGGAGGCAGCAGUGGGGAAUAUUGGACAAUGGGCGAAAGCCUGAUCCAGCCAUGCCGCGUGUGUGAAGAAGGUCUUCGGAUUGUAAAGCACUUUAAGUUGGGAGGCGUUACCAACAGAAUAAGCACCGGCUAACUUCGUGCCAGCAGCCGCGGUAAUUC